ensembl:lncRNA
GGCCGCCGCGGGGCGCGCUGCCGGCACCAGGUGACGCUGGGGCUGCGCCGGGGCCUGCCGCCCGCCCGCCCGUCCUCUCCGUGUUUAUUUGGCUUUUGGCUGAAGUGUGCGAGACGUAACUGCGUGUGGAAAGUCAUCUCUUGCACUUGACCGGCUGCUUGUUGCCUGGCUUAGAAUGCAUUUCAUGGUCAGUGGAAAAAAAUGAGGAAGAGGAGGGUGUGGCUGCUGCUUAGAGAAGCUGGCUGUGCAUGCAGGGACUGGCUUUGGGGUUGUGAUCCUUCAACCUCACAGAAGGAAGACUUCUCCUAGUGAAAUCAGAAGAAAAGUAGUGCUGGAGCAGAGCACUUGAACUUGGAGAACUGGAGUUGUCAGUCACUGCUGAAGGUACAGGAAUAGUGGAUGGAAACGUGCAUUGCUCUUCUGAAGCUGAAUCCUCAGGCAUUCGUGGCCCGUCUCUGCAGCCCGAUGUGUUUUUUGUGCGUGUGUGUAAGCGCUCUCAAUCAAACAGAAAUCAUGGCAGCUGUUUUUCUUCCAGCACAGCAGUUGAGCUGUCUCGCCCAAAUGCUUAUCAGCUUUUGACUCCGUGCCAAGAUAGUUAUAAGGGCCAAGCAGCCUGCGCUUGGCUGUGCAGCUGGUGGAGGAGCGAGGGCAUGAGAAAACAGAAUCACCCAGCUUUUUUUGUCACACACACCAUCUACUUUUUUUUUUUUUCUUUUCCAAUCCCCGUUUUCAGCCCCGUGGGUCCUUCCGAGCAGCUUUUUCGCGGUCCCCGCAGCGCUUUCCUACAGGGCCGCAUCGAGAUAGGAGUCCAGCGCUCCUCGUUCUAAUCCCGGAAGAUAUUUCCAGAGGACCUUCCUUUCCUUUCCCUCCCACUCCCCCCCCUCCCGCCCCCAAUUAAAAGCUCCAUCAGCCGGCCCCGCUGCCUCUCCUCACGGCUGCUCUGUCCUCCGCGGCCCGCACGGUCCCGGGCCCUCGCUGCGGUGCGCUGUGCGCGGCCGUUCGGCAGUGCCGUGCCGCGCCGCCCUCCCAUCGCCAGCCCAGGCCCUGCGCCGCGCCAACGCGGCCUCCUCCGCCUCUCGGCUCCAGUCGCUGCGAGGGGGAGGCCGGACUCUGGAACGAGGCUGCUGCCGCCGCUUGCAUUCCUGCUGCAAGGGCCUCCCCUUCAGACGGCCUUUGCCAGAGCAGAACUUUUAAAAACGCUGUACAUAGGCGCUGCUGCUUUUUCUCCUCUUCGUCUCUCUCUCUCUCUCUCUUUCUCUCUUUACUUAACCCUCCUUUCACUGCUGAAGAACGGAUUAAUUUUCCGUCUCUUCUGCGCUUGGCUCGGCCGUACUGUAUAUCGUUGCAUUGAGGUUAAAACUCCCGAGUAUUUUCCCCUCCGCUGAUCCUUUUCUCUCCCUCUCUCUCCUCUCUCUCUUUUUUUCCUCGGUUAAGGGGAAUUGAUUUCUUUGGCCGAGCUAGUUUGUAUGCUGUGAGAACGAGGGCUUUUAUUUGUCACGUCCCCCCCCCCGCCCCCUCUCCCAGUACCGGCACACCGCGCAGCUCACGGAACGGCCGCUCGCCCUGCCUGCCUCUCUACUACAGCUCCGUUCCCGUGGCUGUAGGUGUCCGUGCCGCACGGAGCGGGGCUCCGGUUCCCCCCCCCCGCCUCCCCGAGCACUCUGCGAUGGCCGACACGGGGGUGUGCGGCGAGCGGGGGCCGUCUGCUCCCCGCGGCGGAGGGGAGAGGGAUGUGUAGCAAAACGCUGCCUCUGGGACAGGUGCCAGCUCCCAGACAAAAGGAGUGGAAUAGGCUGUAAAGAGGGAGGGCGGGGGGGGGGGGGGGGGGGGGGAAUUAAUAGCCGGCAAAAAAUAGGAGCCGCGAGCCUCGGGAGGAGCCCUGGCGGGAGCGCGCUGCCUUGCCGGCCUCUUCGCCGGGUAUUCCCGAGCUGCAGGGCGGAAGGAGAAAGUUGUGGCAUACUUUUUAUUCCUGUCUUCUCUUCAGACGUUGGAAAGCGUGAAGGGAGGGUGGAGGGCGCCUUUUUUUUUUUUCUUCUUCUUCACCCUCCUCUUACUGAAUUAUUCAUAGUGUCAGCGGUGAAGCCAGGACUAUUAGCAUGCAUCAGACAUGCUGUUUGUCUGUUUGCUAACAUUCUUCAUUCAAGACUUGUUAACUACCAGACAAGCUUAACAUGCUUCUCUCUUUCUCCUCCCCUUCUCUCUCCCUCUCUCUCCCUCCCCUCUCCCUUCCCUUCCCCUCCAUGCCACCCCUCGCAGCCUCCCAUUGUUGUCGCUGGGAGCUGGCAGCAGCUGUGGCAGGGGGAGCGUGCGGAGGAGCCGCCAGCCGCCCGCUAGUGUCUCAGCCUGGAUGUAGCCCAGAUUUGUGAAAUGCACAGCAGUAGAAUUUGAGUUUUCAAGUGAAAUAACUCUUCCUUGUCUGAACCGUCCUUCAAAAUGCGGGAUUAGAAGUUUCCUACCACAUCAUCUUCAGGACUCCCAGAAAAUUCUUCUGCAGCUUGUGGCUGCCCGGAAAAGGAUGUUGUAGUAGUCUGGCAAAAUGAACUCAAGAUGCACAAGAAGAACAUACUAGAGACUGAUCUGCAAGGUGUUCAGGUUCACUGAUAAGAUGCAAACCAGAAUCUGCCUGUUGGUUAUCUAUCCAGACAUGUUUCAGAGCUAAUAAGGGAGACUGACGAGUACCAUGACUUCAAACAGAAGCAUUUUGAGAAAUGACCUAGGGGGAGCCAAGUUACAAGAUGAACUCUAACCAAGUUAGAAGAGGAAAUAAGUGAAGAUUGGUCAUGUAUGCAAAGAAAAUGACAAGGUUUUGUCUCCCGUGGAUGCUGGCUUCACCCCAUUUUUCCCAUUGGGAUCUGCCAAACUUCAUUUCUGCCCUUGAGAGCUAGGAAGCACAGCCCAGGGUGAGAUGCUGCUGCUGCUCCCACAGCUGUCCAUGUCACGCCCGGCAGCCAUCUUAGGCUGGACAGAAAGCCCUGGCCAGCACAGCAAAUCAGCUGGUAAGUGAGCAGACAGAAGAAUUAUGCUAGGAAAACAUCAAGGGCAAAUAUUUAAGUUGUACAAACAAAUAGCUCCUAAUACACUAAACAGUUCUGCUUCCUUAUGGAGUUUAUUUAAAAUUAAAAAACCAAGUGUCUCCCUAAAUACUGAUUUGCUGAAGAAUACGAGUGCAACACACAAAGUAGCCAGUAGUUAGCCCUGGUUUAACUUCUCUUUUUAUGGAAGCUUUGGGAGAUGCUGAGUGUUUUUAUCAUUCUGGGUAGCUUUUUUUUUUUUUUUAGCAUUUGGAGUAUUACAUAAGCAGAACUCAGAAAUUAAUGUAGUAGAAGAAUAAAAUGUCUGUGUAAGUGCUACAGUUUGCAUAAACAGAAGGCAUGAUCCGACACUGAAGAAAAAUAAGGUGCUGCUUUGAUAGAAAAUGAUAUUUUUCCCACUACAGCCCUUUGGAAGCAUCUGUUUAACAUUCAAGACUUUUCACAUCAGUCAGGCUAAGAAAUGCCUGAUGUACAUGUGUGGAACGUGUCUGUGAAGGUACAGAACCCCUGUGUUGUACACACAGCCCCAGCUCCUUGUCUUUAAUUCUAGCCAGAUUCUUAUACACCAAUUCAGUAGAUUAAGGCAGCAGUUAUUAAGCAUGUUCCAUUUUUAUGUGGCAUUGUAAACCUUUUAUGAAAUGUUAUAUAAGCUUUCAUUUUUGUGGAGGAAUUUAACUGAAGCUAGCGUGAGUCCACAUAAGAGUAAGGAAGCCUUUAUACAGGUGUGCAGUUGUAAGGCUGCAGUGUGUCAGAUGUGAUUAUUUACACUGAUGUAUGUUUUUACAUGCUGUUGCCAUUUUUUUCCCCAUAUAUAGAAUGUUCAAGAUUUUAGGAACAUCCAUAAAUUAUUACAGAGCUUGGAGACACGUAUUCCACAGAGUUCUGGUGUAACUGCUACUUUCUGCCAAAUUUUUCUGAACAGUUUGAUAAAGCAAAUGGUUUCAGUGACUACGUGAAAUUAUUUAAUAGAUAGCACUAUGUUACAGUACCUAUAAUGUUCUGUGCAAUAAUAAGUUAAAAGGUCGGACAAAAUAAUGUGACUGGUUUUAAUAGGAUUAGGGCUCACUACAGUCAGUUGCUUCUAAGUUGUGUUCUAAUGUGAAAUUUAGACAAACAACUGAGUGCAGUAGACUUGGUGCCGUGAAUAUUUCCUAUUGUGCCCCUCUGAAGCUGCAGCAGAAUCUGUCCUAAUUUAUUUAAUUAUGGUAACGUUUUACAAUUUGUGAAAGAACUGUUGCUGCCAAUCUUAGAAGCAGCUGUGUUUCAGUAAUGGAUUAAGUCUCUAUAUACAUCAUAUUUCACAGGAGUUGCAAAACCUGUGUUUGUAAAAUAUUUUUCAUUUCUUGAAGGAUGUAACCAAUAUGAAUGCAGUGUGUUUAUUUUUGUUAUAUUUACUUAAAAAUACACCUGGAAAUAUUGUAUGUGAACUUUAUUAUAUGUAGGUCCCAGGAGAUGAUCCUUCUCUCCUCCAACUAGCUUCUGUCUGAAAUCUUCCAAGCAGUUACCUUACGUGGUAAUGCUCUGUCUGGCUUGACAGGGCGAUGCAGCAGCUUCAUUUUCUGCUCAGAGUCUGUUGGAUUCAGUCAGAAAGCUUCCCUUGGUCUCAGCAUCCGCUGUAGCAGAGCCUCCGCGAUUUACUUUGCAACCACUCUCACCAGCAAAAGUUUGUGACAUUUAUAAUAGUGAAUAAACAGCGGGGGCACAGUGGUGACUGGACACCACUUUGGAAGCCAGAAAAUAAUCAUUAUGUAGAAACAAGCUGGAAGCCACUGAUGUGACCUGCACGCAGCCCCUCAGCCUUGCAGGGUCCCUUGGGGUUUGCCUUGAGCCGCACAUUUCCCCACUGCGGUCAGUGUGCACUUGCUCACAUGUGCACCUAGGGCAUUUGCCUUCCUCCUGGGAGCACAGGUAGGUUUUGCAUUUGCAAAUCAUUCCCAGUUCUUGGGUGGAAGGUGCUCCAAAAAUCGCGGAGUGCUCGUUCUGUGUUGUCCCAGAGUUUGCUAAUUAUUAAGGCUUUUAAUUAUAUAACAAUUCAACUUUAAAACUGUCAUAGAAAUAGCAGAGUUGGCUCUGCACCUUUUUAAUAGCGACUGCUGAGGUAUUUAUUAACAUCUGUUCCAAUCCAUUUUUCACUGAACACUGAGGGUUAGAAUAUGGAAAUGUCAUAUUUUUCUUAGUAUUAAACAGUUGCUGAACUAGAAACAUAACUCUUGCCAGACAGUUAUUUUGUAUGCAUGUCUUCUUCAUAGAAAAUGAACAUGCACUUUUCUUUCAUUAAGUAUUUUAAAGUUCAUCCUUGUUUUGUGACCUAAUCAGUUGAAGUGAGUUUAUGAGCGGCUUGUGAGAGCAGAAGAAUAAUUAAUUUAAAGUGUUGAAUAAAGCACAUUCUUUUCCAUUUUUGUUUGCUAAUGAAUACUUUAAACUAUUCAUACCCACAAUAACAGAUCUUAUAUAAAACAGAACAACAGAAAGCUUAUAGCACUUUAUAAAUAACCAUCUCAACGUUCAUGAACUAAAUUGCUACUUUUUAUGUGGCAGAUUGUAUAUUAAGGCAAUAUUAUACCAGAACUUCACGUAUGGAAAUAGAUCUUUAACAUUAUCAAAAGCUUAGCUGUAUUUAGUAGAAAAUAAGUGAAUCCUUUUGAAAUGUUUCUUAAAAAUGCACCAUUUUACAUCAAAAGGGUGAACAUUUUUCCGUUCUCCCAACGAGAACUGCACCCGUGAGUGAAAGUAAAGCCGAGGUGUGCUACAGGUAGGCAGUGAUGUACAUCACUGCAACAUGCUUAGCUUUCCCAAAUUUCGCCACUGUUUGAAUCUGUAUUUUCACUUCUGCCAUUGGAGUCACUGGAGUCGCUUCAAGUUUAGGAUCUUCAUCUGACAUUUCCAGUGAUUUGGGUCUGCUGAGGAGCUUGGGCUUUUCACUGCUGUGAAUAUAUCAUUUUAAUGGCUUUGAACUGUUUUCACCGGACUAUCCAGCAUAAAGAGCAGCUACGCUGAAGGGUUACUUUUUUUCCUUCUUUCAUCCUAAAGGAAAUGCUUAUUCAGAAGUCUCACUUUGAAGUAAAACACACAAUACGCAGCUUUCCUCCAAUUAUGUUAUAUAAUGCUGAUUUCUAUUUAUAUAAGGAUAGGGUUUGUUUUAAAGCGGAAGCCCUUUCUGUGAGGUGACUGCACAGGCCACGGGUACUCACUCACCUGGCGGUACCAAGAUUCACCAGCUUCCACACUGAAUUUUAGCCAAGGCUCCAGUACAAAUUGUGAACUCCUAACACUCAGAUCUCUGACCACACACAUAAAGAUGUUUAGUUUUAAACAUUUUAUCUAAAAAACCAGGGACAGAAUAGUUCUGUGUUUGUUUGCUUGUUUGUUUGUUUGUUUUCCAGAGGAUUAUUCGGAAAGUAACUGGCUUUGCCAAAAAAGCUCACACUCAGAAAAUGCUGAUUUUUUUUUUAAACCCUUGAGUAUAUGGCGAAGACUGUGGAGCUUUCUGCUGCAGAACUUUCCAAAUGGCUUCCUUUGACAGUGGUUAGAAAGCAGCUUCUGCUACCAGUAGUUAUUAGUUAAAGAGGUUAUCUAGUUAAAGGGGUAAUCUAGUAGUUACUAGUUAAAGAGGAAAUCUCUUUUGCUACUCUUUUUGUAUAGUAUAGGAAGAAUGUCUACUUUGACCUUCAGUGCCAUUGGUGUUGCAAGUUGUGAAACCAGGGUUGUACAAUGUUUUCUCCAUUAUGGUCGUCUCAGAGGGGACAGUUGCACUGUUGCAGUUUGGUGUCACACGUAUGUCCCCUGUGCAGCUCGCAGCAAUCUGUAACCUCUUCCUACAGGUGGCCUCAGUCCAGUGUAGUUAGUUUGAAGCUAACAGUGUAACAUUGCUUGUUAUAGAUUAACACAUUGCUAUUUAAUUUGGUUAGUCAUUUGCAUUCUCCUUCCUUCUCUAGUUCCUUUAAAAGUGUGUUUUUCCCAGAAAGUGAAGAAGCAAAUACCUCAAUAAGUCAAUCUAAAAAAAAACCUAAAAAAACCCACAAUGUUUUCUGUUUUUCGCAGUUCUUUGUCUCUUGCCUGUCUUUUUUUCAGGUUAGGGGUACCCCCUGGGCUGAGGUGUGAUGGGAUAACAACAACGGAAAGAGAAAUCUGGUGCUGUGAAUGGCCCUCUGAGAAAAUGUACGGAGAAGCUUGUGUCUGCUUUUUCACUUGCUGUCACUCACCUUACAACUGUUUCAGUGUGCACUAAAAUGAAGUUGAAACAUGCGUGUUUUCUUUUUCGGCAUCCCCAUAGUGAUUAUGCUAUGAGCAGUGGAAGAUCCCAUCGGUUGCUCUGAAACGUGACCUACCUACUUUGAGGUGAGAUCUGUUUUGUUGUAAAGCAUGGCUUUAGUUUUUCUGUGUGUAUCAUGGAUUCUUGUCUUUAAUUUGCAGUUAACAACAACAAAAAAAAAGUUUUCCUUAGUGAAGAGAAGGCUCCGGGGAGACCUCAUAGUGUCCUUCCAAUACUUGAAGGGAGUACCCCUGUUUACAGGGGUAGAUAGUGAUAGGGCAAGGGGAAAUGGUCUUAAACUGAGACAGGGGAGGUUUAGGUUAGAUAUUAGGAGGAAGUGUUUCACACAGAGGGUGGUGAUGCACUGGAACAGGUUGUCCAAGGAGGCUGUGGAUUCCCCAUCCCUGGAAGCAUUCAAGCCUGGUCUGGUGGCUGGCGACCCUGCAUAUAGCAGGGGGGGUGAAACUAGAUGAUCUUUGAGGUCCUUUUCAACCUAGGCCAUUCUAUGAUUCAGUGAUUCUAAGUUAGCUUAUUAAGUUGGAGUAUUUGUUUGAAAUUUUAUUUGUUUAUAUUACAGGUAUGGACUGAUAUCAUAGUUUUUGUCACUUAUUUGGAUUUUCCCUGAGUGCGAUGUGUUGCAGUCCAUCAGACCAGGUGGUGGGGAGUGAGAGCACCCUCAACCUCUAGUGUUGGUGUGAGGUUACAGUACACUAGUGGCAAUUUUGCUAGUCAUAUUAACCAACGUCUGUGUAGUACAGUAGAGUACAUUUAGUUUAGCCAUUGAUUCAGUUGUGAGGUACUGUCCUUUAGAAGUAGCAUGUUGCUUAAGUAAGCCAUAACACUUUCUGACAGUCACCAAAUUCUUGGUUCAGUCUUAUAGAUUUACCCAUGCAGAACUUGGGAAAGUCAGUAAGAGCAACUGAGCUGUUCCGCACUAGGAUAAGAGAGGAAUACCUAGAAGGCAAUGCAGAACAAAUCCCUCUAAUUCAGCAUUUAUUCUCUAAGUCACUGUGAUGCCUUUCUUGAAGUGACAAAACUGGUUUGUUAAGAUGCAGUCGUGUCAGAGCUGGAAGUACAAAAGUGCAUUUAUUAAAAAUGAAUUCUGUAUCCUCUUCCCUCUUGUGUAUCUUGUCACUGACAUGACUCCACACAUUGCAAAUAUGUGAAACUUUUAAAACAUGAAACUAGAGCUCAUUAAGCAAAAUGUCAACUGGUGUAUAGCAAACUCUUUCAGAAUGAAGACUGAUAAUAUUUGUCUCCAGAGUUUUUUGUCUUCUAGGUCAUCACCAAGCCAUCCAGCUUUCUGGGAAUAUAGUUUGUGGUUUCUGUGAUCGGAGUCUGACUGUCCUUUGGGGUGAGGUAGUAGGUUGUAUAGUUUUAGGGUUAUGCCCUGCCUGUCAGAUAACUAUACAAUCUACUGUCUUUCCUGAAGUGGCUGUGAUAUCAUCGCUGGAUAUGCCUUCAAAAUGCAAAGCAAAUAUAUUUCAACUGUAACAUUCUCUGGCUCUGUCUUACGUGUUGGUUUUGAUUCUUACAAAAGAAAUGUUCUCAGAGUGUUUCAAUUCCUCUAUCGUUUGGAUUGGAAAGCGAUUUCCUUUUUUUCAUCUUCUCCGAGAAAGCGGGGUGUGAGAGGGCCCAGAGGUACAACCUAUGCUUAUGCUCAACUUUCUCCAUCUGCCAGUGUGCUCUCAAGAGUGGCCAUUUGGAAAAAGGUGAUCCAUUUCUUCAUUGCUUUGUGGCAUUCGUGUUAUACCAAUGGCAAGUGCCACUUCUUCAGCAGUUAUGUAAAUCCACCUAGCGUAAUUUGUUUGAGGAAACUAACAAGUGAUGACUUGGAUAGUAAUACAAAGAGGAUGUCUCAUUUUCUGCCCUGGAACCAGUAAAUGCUUGACCCCUAAGUGAAGAGAUUUUUUUUAGUCAGUUUUUGAAUUGUGACUUAAUAUAUGUUUUAUUACAUAAUGCAAAUUUGGGAAGGAGAGUGCUUUCCACUGCAGUUGUUCUGCCUGUAGAGUCACCCCACCAAUUCUGAUGGACUUCCAGGAAGAAAUCUGAGGAAGGGCUGACAGGACGUAAUGAUGCCCUUUUUGAAAGUAAGAAAUGUGGGCUAGAAAGUGUGUAGGGAAUCUUACUUAUGGUAGGUGAAAUGUUAGUUUGCUUCAGAAGAUCCGCCUGAUGCUCUAACAGGAUGAGGUAGUAGGUUGUGUGGUUUCAGGGUAGUGAUUUUGCCCCAAUCAGGAGAUAACUAUACAACCUACUGCCUUCCCUGAUAGGCAGCGUAACAUCAGUGUCUUAAUUCACAGAAAACCAAGGGCUAAAAUAGACAUUUGUGACCAGCAAAGUAAGUCUACAUUCAAUUCUUGUUACCCUGUCCCUAAUACCUCUAACUUCAGUGUCUGGCAUUAUUUUUAAUAACUGCCUACAAAAUAAUUAUCUCUUUUAAAGUCUCUAUAGGGAAAAAUUUGAAUUAAAAAAAGUUUUGCUAUUCAAAAGUUUGUCUGUUCUUGAUUUGUUUUGUUUCUGGUUCAUUUCAGAGGAAUGAAAUUUUCAGGGAAAUGAUUCCAAAAAUGCUGUGGACUUGCAUUCAAGCUGUUCAUAUUUCCUGGGCAUUUUAGCUCGAAUGCAACAAAUUUUACUAGCAGUGCACUGUUUUUGUUCAGCCCUCUGUCCCUCUCAGGAAUCUUCCUGUCUUUUACAAAUAAUUGUCACGCAACGCUCUCCAGCGGAUCAAUUUUAUAAUGCAAAUAAAAAGCUGUGGUGAUGAAAAUCAGGGGCCGGAUUGAAAAGACAAAGACAGACAUUGAUUUUGUAUCAGCACUUGCUCAUAAGCAGUCUCAUUUCAUGGCGUUUAAACAGUCCUGAAAGUGAAUUUGCUGACUAUCUAAAAGGCACAGAUUGUACCUGGAAAAUCAUGGCCAGGGAAUGUUAGUUGAGUCCAUUAAAGACAUUCUGAAAUACAAACUAUAGUCUUAAUGCAAGAGGAAAAAAAGAAAGAAAAAAAAAAGAGAAAAACCACCCCAACUGUGGAAAUCAUUCUUCUACAUGCAAAACAUUUCGGGAAAUGAGAAUGAUGUAAAACUGAAGGAUAACUUAAUUUCAGAGGUUUCAAGCUGGUUACAUAGAGUCAUUUGUGUGUAUUUUAAUUAUACAGCAUCUGAUUACUGUAAAAUGGAAUAUAAAUUUAAGGUUGUCAUAUGUGUAGCUAGGCAAGCCCAGACAUCCAUGGUUAGAGCAAAUAAACUGAUACUACAUUCAGCAGCAGAACUGGGUAUUUCAUUGCUUCUCUUGUCCAAAAAUAUGGCACGUAUCUGGACGCUGAGGGUUUUUGAGGUCAAUGAAUGCUUCAAAACAAGGCCAUUUGUUAAUACCUUUGUUAAACAGUUAGGAAUGUUAUUUAACUUGUGUUCAUAGAGAUAAAGGCAGCUGGUAGAAGAAGAAAAAUUACUCUGUGUCUGAAAAACUCAGGAGAGUAGGCGAUAAUGUGGCUGGUUUUAAUCUUCUCACUGUUUAAAGAGGGUCUCUUAAAAAAAAAGAUAAAACUGCUGUAAGGAUAGUUGCCAUGCUGGCCAUGUUCAAUGGCUCUCGGUCAUGCAUUGCGAAUCCUGAACUCUUUCUUCUGCUGGAAAUGCAGGCCCACAGCUGCAGCAGAAACAUCUUAGAGGACUGUGAGUAGUGAUUGCGCUGUGUGAAGCUUAAAACAUGCUGCUCCUCUCCAAGAUGCAAAACUGGCUGGAAAUUUCUUGCUUAGUUUUACAUUCAGUACAUACGUAGCAAAUGUUCCAUACCGGUGAAAGGCGUAAGAAGAGGGAAAAUGUUCUCCACAUUCUACCACAGCCUGUUAGAUCUCAUCCCUGAAGUCAUUUUAAAGUCUUCUGGCUCUGUCUGGAUCAGCGUUGUGUUCUUGGUAAUGAGCUGUGAGUUUUCAGAUUCUGGUCAUCCUGGCAAUCCUAUUAAAACAAAGGGCCAAAAAAAAAAAUCCAUGGUGUUUGCUUCACUAGGUUCUACAUGUGCCUGUACUUAGCAGUGUGUGAGCCUGCAGUUAAUCAGGUCUGUCCCUAGCAGUAGGUGUCAUUACAGCUAAUGGGAACUGCAACAGAAACUUGAAAGCACAGCUCCAUGGUGCCAGAUGUUUUUCAGAAUUGUAUACAGAAAAUGCUUGUGUCAAAACAGAAGUAGUAGCUUCAGCUGGAAUUCUUAUUAAAAGCAAGGGUGUUUUUUUAAACACAAGACAGUAUUAGUUCUUUCUGAGGUCAUGCACUGCUCUGUGGCACUCAUUAGGUGAAAGCAUGCAAUCAUAAGCUACGUAACAUGCGAUUUUAAAACCUAUGUGUGCUUAAGUUUGUUAUUUUGGGUUUUUUUUUAGUGUAACAGCACUAACUGAUGAGCAGAAGCUGAGUAUCUCCUGCUGGAACGAAGCCUGUACACUUGGUUAUAGCAGACCAGGUGAAAAUCAGUGCACGCAGGACUUUCGGUGAGGCCAGGAUUUUCAUAGAAUCAUAGAAUGAAUCAUAGAAUGGCCUGGGUUGAAAAGGGCCACAAUGGCCAUCUGGUUUUAGCCCCUCAGCUAUGUGCAGGGUCACCAGCCACUAGACCAGGCCUCCCAGAGCCACGUCCAGCCUGGCUUGGACUGCAUCCAGGGACGGGUAUCCACAACAUCCUUGGGCAGGUGGUGUUAGUUCUCCUUUUCUGCCUUGGAGAGGGUGUGUUUUUCCUGAGACAAGAUCAGUCACACAGACAAUAAAACCAUCAAUCAAAUUUCUGCCUUGAAGGCUACUGCUCACAGGUUUUAUAUUUCUGCCUCAUGGAUGUGUGGAACAUUACACAUCUUCUAUGAGCCCUUUCAACGUGUGCUGUGUUUUUCAGUUUUACUUUAACAUGCAAAUCUCCCUAUUCUCCUAAAACAAGUGCCCAACACGAAAUUUUUGUCUCAAUUUGAUAAAAGACUAAAAGAGAUGAAAAUGUUUUCAGACCAGCUGGAUAACUCUGGCAAAAGUGUGUGCUGCUAGCUGCAAAAACUUGCACUGCUGCUGUGCAUGGGUGCCACGAGGUGCGCGCUGCGAGGCUGUACCCUUGGGGCUGCCCUGAGAGGGCAAAAGCCUUGAAGACAGAAGUAGUUCCUGAGAUCUUCCCUGAAAGGGUGAAUUACAAAGGAGAUUUAUAUAGGGAGUGGAUGCAGAAAUGCAGUAAGACCAUAGCGGGUAUGCCAGCCGGUGUUACAGAUUCAGCAUGACAUACCGAAUUGCUAUACAGGAGUCAGAGAGAGCUGGUGAAAAAUGCCCGCCUUCCUUAUGCUUGCAGAGCUUCCCCACCUGCUCCUAGGACUGUGCUUCAAACAGGGGACAAGUAUUAAAUGAGAACUAAAUUUCUAGGAGUCAUCUGUGAUAAUACACACCGUUCUGAGAACUGAAGGUCUGAAUGUAUCUUAAUUACCGUGAGUGUGACUGUGCACAGCAGUUACCUUAGAGAUGUCACAGCAAAAAGCUGUUUGGGCUUGGAGAUUUUCUGUAACUAAUGCUAUACAGUUCUCAGAAUAUAAAUACAUGCUAAUUAUGGGAAUAAUGGUAGUAAAGAUUACUAAAGGAAUCAUUUCUGUUGUGGAAUACAUAAGCAAAUCAAAGGUGGGAAAGUGUGGGAGGGACAAAAGCCAAGUAUCACCAGCUCUAUCUGGCAGAGAGGGGCGGUGUUGCACAGCCUCCAGUCAUGGCCAUGAGCUCCUGGUUGCACUCAAACACACUGUCCUUUGCAGUGCUUGAGCCCAUGGGAGGGCCCAGGUCCGUAGCUGUGCUGGCAUGGCUCUGAUGAGCGUGGCUCUAAGUGAUCUGAGGGGGUACCCAGCUAACAGCUUGAAGUAGAAAAACUGAGGGAUAGGAGAUGUGAAGAUACCUACAGGGAUCUAGGGCUGAGUGACUUAGAUGUCCAGAUCAUAGAUGAAAAAUCAGUGCUAGCACUGCUAAAAAGGCAAGACAAAGGCAUCAAAUAAACUAGGCCAAAUGUCCCUCUGAUUGUCAACUAGAUCUGUGUUCCUAAGUUACUUUGGCACUUUUGUUUAACAGUUAUGAUUGCCAGUUGUGCUCAGUAUUUGAUCAUAGGAAGGCUUUUGUCUGGUUGUGGAACACUGCUCAAGCACUGUCUCCGGCACAAAUCAAAACCAGAUGAGUCACCAGGUUAAGAGACAACCAAGUUGUAACCACGUUGCCUGAUGUGGCUUAUUUUUGUGUUCCAGCCAGGGCCUGAAGCUCUUACUAGAGAUUUUCCCUGUCCAGCUUGCAUAUUCAAACGUAAGCAAUCAUAGUUCCAUCCUUGGGGAGCCCAAGUGGGUUUUCCCAAUGCAUACAAAGGCAUUAGCCUGUUAAAAAGGUCUCUCAAUCAACUGAAAGUGUGCAGCAGUUUGCAUAUUAGUGCGUGUUUUUAAUUAACACUUGGAAGAGAGAAAUACUUGAUGCACUUAAAAGUGACACAAAUAAAAGCACCUUUCAUAUAUUCUCAUUGUAAACAUCUAAAGUGAAAAUAAAGUAAUUUCUGAUCUCAUGGAAGGCAGUUGGUAUUUACAGAUUUAUUUAUAGAUUUAUAUAGGUAUUUAGUUAUAGAUUUAUACAGGUAUUUAUAGAUCAUUCCAAAAGUAAGGCCUCCUAUUUAUUUCCAUGGAUAGAACAAUAGAACUGUUUGAUAAGAGCAAAUUCUCAGCUACAAAACACUAUCUUUCAAUAUAGUCAUAACCAUUAGCUAUGCAUUUUCAUCAGCGAUGAACAAGAGCCUUUAUGUUGUGUUCAUAAAAACCUCCACCAGUGGAGGUGACCCACUGUUUCACAGCUGCUGUGAAGGUGUUGUAGCUAGGAAAAUGUUGCCCAUGCAAUCCAUCUUUCAUCAGAGCAAACAGAUGGAAUUCAGAAGGUACCAAAUCUGGACUGUGCUGUGAGCAUGGUAGGACAGCCUAGGCACGACUGGCAGUGUGCUGCACAGUCUUCCAACUGGGGUUAUAGUCUUAACAGUGUUGCAAGAUAAAGAUCGUUUUCUCUGGCCUGACUUUGGAAAUUCAGGCCUUCAGCUUAGUCAGCGUCACAGUGUAGGAGGCAGUGUUGAUGGUGGGUCAGUGUUCCAGGAAAUCCAGAAGGAUCACCCGUUUCCUAUCCCAGAUAGUGUACAUCACUUUGCCCGCUGAGGGCUGCAUCUUGACCUUUUUCUUUGAUGGGGGAUUUGCAUGUCACCAAUCCGUAGAAUGCUGUUUUGACUACUGUUAGCACUAUGUCCUGUCACCAGUGAGGAUGCAAUCCAGGCAACUGUCACCUUUGGCGGUGUGUUGGUUCAAUGGGUCCUGAAAAACUUGCAUACGGUGUUAUUUCUGUUCCUGUCUGAGUAUUUGUGGGACUCACCUGGCUCAAACUUUGCAGUGUUCCAACAUUGCCACCAUUGUUUCCUACACAUUAAAGUUGAUAUUCAGCUCCAUACACAGUUCCCUGAUCAUAAUCUGCCAAUGGACCUGGAUGAGCUGAUGGAAAUGCUCUUCAUUUCGUGGUGUGACAGAUAUGCAUGGCCAUCCAGAAUGUGCCUUUCUUUCAUGUCACUGUCACCACUGCUGAAAUGCACCACCCACCGCCUCAAUGUGCUCAUACUCACCGUUUGGUCUCCAGAAACAUUCACCAAGUGUCAGUGAAUGUCAAUGGGUGCCAUUUUUCUACAUGGAGGAAUACAAUGACACACCUUUGCUUCAGAUGUACUUCCAUGUCAGAUGCCAUUAUGGCUGACUACUCCUCUGCUGUCAUCUGUCACAUGGUAACAAAAUGUAAUGGAAUACUGGCAGGAAGGUUCAACCUCUACUGCCGAACCACCAACAUCCACCACUGAUUUCAUGGUCCAACAUAAUAGAAGGGGAGGCAUUACUGUUGGAACAGCUCUGGUAGCUUUUGUGAAAACUGGCAGCUUAAUCUUUUUUCUGUCACACACCUGGACAGGUUUUUCAACCAUCUCAAUUUUGCUGAUGAAAACAUUUCACUUCUUGUGAGACUGUGGAGAGCAAACCCUGGCUUGCUGCACCCCAUGGCCUGGAAGCUCCAGGCCCAUCUCAGCCGUCACAGCCUCUUCUGAGCAGGUGACUCCCAAGUGGCCAUUACACGCUUAUCUCUCUGGAUUUAACCUGAACUUGGUACCUUCUACAUCUGCUAAAAAGCUGCCCUAUGAGCUUGACCAAUGGGGUUCCAGCAACCACUACUUGAAAAUCAGUUUGGAAUCCCAUAGGUCCUAUUCUUAUUUAGCCUUGGCUUGCUGUUGCAUCACAGUGACCUCCACUGUGGCUAGAAAUGCGAGACAUAGACUAAUAAUUUCUUUCUCUCCUGAAGUUUCAACAUGUCCAAAACCUUUGGUUAUAUUUUCUUUUCUUUUUUUUUUUUUUUUACCAUUUUACCACAAGUAAAAUACAGUGAUUGAUGGCCCAGAGUUUAGUGAUUUAACUUUUGUUUCUUCAGAAAAUCUCACUGACAUUUUGAAGUUCGAAUGGACAAAUUAGUUUCCACUUCAUUCCCCUUUGCAUUUCAUUAGCUUUCCCAAAACUUAAGAAAUUUUCAGGCCUUCCGUUGUAGCAAAAUGAGAACUUUAAAAUUCAUUAAGCCUUAGAUAUUCAGUAUGCUGUACCAAGUGACAGAAAAGGAAAUAAGAAAAGUGAUCAUUCCCAAGUUUCAUUAAAAUUUGUGCAGAAAGAGAAUAUCCUUCAGAAGUGUUCCACGCUUGAAAGAAGAUUUUCCAUAUUAAAGCAAAGGAGAAUGUGUUACCCAGUGUAUGGCGCUGUGUCUGUCACUCAAGCUAGUCCAAGUUUCUAAUGAUUGAGCUGUGUGUGUUACUUUGAGUAAGUGAACGCAAAAUAAGGAACAGUUGUUUCUAAUGUGAAGCUAAAACAGCUACAGAAAGUACCCUCAACUGGAAAUCGUGUGUUCCUGUGUUCAGCUCCUUGAACUCUGCCAAAUAUGUGCAGCUGGAAGAAAAGAAGUGGUUUGACUGUCCGUGAGCCAAAACACAUGGUGGUUAGUUUGUGCGGGUGAUGCCAAGUGGAGGUAAGCAUGUUGGAGCACAUGAAGGGAACAGGGCAGGAGCUGGUUUCGGCCUGCUGUUGCACACUGAGCACAGCGCUCCGGCGUCAAGCAGCAGCAGGCCUCAUUCAGCAGCCUCUUUCCACCAAAGUAAGCAAUGGGACGAGGUGCACAUUUUCCCAAUAUUUGAAACGUUCUUUGGUCCUGCUUAGCUGCACACUGUGCUUUCUGUCACAAAAAAAUAAUAAAAACACUCCGAAUGUGGUGGUCGUUACUGCAAUCCCAAUGCAAUCUAACUUCACUCGCCUCAUGAGGUCUCUCCUCCGAUCGUAGUGAAUUUGUGAGGGAUCAGCAGAGGGAGAGGACCCUCAGAAGGGAGGAGAAGGCUGGCAGUGCUGUGCUGUUACUGAUGUGGGAGAAGCAGCACAGGGAGCUGAGUUUGCAGUUUGAUCCCUGUCCCUAAAUACUACUGGAAGUGGGCAGACCCAGAAGCAAAUUGCUCUCCAGCAAACACCAUUGAGCUGCUGGUGACAAUCCUAAGCAGUGGCCAUCCUGAUAUUGCUUGGUUCUGGGUGGGCCUUGUCCAAGCUUCACAACGCUGAGCACAGCCUCAUAGUACUUGAUGGAAAACACCACUGGUAAGAAAAAUAGAAGGGAACUAUGAGUGAUAAGGAAUGUCCUCUAAUCCCUUUUAGGCUUUUGUUGGAAAUUACAUGGCCGCCUCUUAUGCCUACGACUCUUCCAGGCAUCUACCCAUCCGCAUCCCUCAAACACACCCAUCCUUCUUCCCCUGCCUCCAGCAUGACACCUCUAAUUCACCCCCUUCCCUAAAAUCCAGUUAGCUGUGAUUCUAUUUUAUCUUCUUCGUGAUGAGCCCCAAGCUUUGCAGCAGGAAGGCAGGCUGCAGUAGGUGGGCACGCUCCAGUAACAGGGCUGUCACUGCAGCAGGGCCGAGGGUGGAUGGAGGAUGGAGGAAGAUGGAGACUGCUCUCACCUCAGCCUCCGGUCCUACUUCUCCCAGCCGAAGCUCCACCAUGCUGAUUUACGACUGCUCCUGAAUGCCUUGGAUGGAAUUAUAGCCCCUUGUAUUACAUAGUGCCUUCUCUGUUACUCUUGCUGCACGCCAUAGAUUUACGGUGGCUUUUAAACCAGACAGUGCAUGAAGAAAUACAAUCUUAACAAAACAUAGAAGGGACCAAGGGAGGUCAAAGUGUGGGAGCUGAACACCCUGUGGUGAUCCAGGAUUUCCCUUUAUUUACAGCUCACACCUUUUCAAUUUCAAGUGGAUUUUGGCUGUCUCUGACAGCUCUAACCAAUGGCUGGGGAGGAAUCUGCAGUCAGCUGUGCUGAGAGGCUUUGCCAUUAACAGGUGACUUUUAUUAUGAUUUAGUACAUGUAGGAAAUCCCAAAAUAUCAUUUGUGAAUUAAUUUUACAUACAGAGUGCCAGAAAGAUGCAUGUCAUUGGGGCACACAGGUAUCCCACAGUAUGACUGCCAUCUUGUGCUGAGUCACCUACUUGUGUUUUUCUAGGUUAACCAUAUCCUGCAUUUUCUGUACUUUUGAUGCUGAAGGAAAAUAAUUUAUGAUAGGCUUUCAUAGAGAAGUGGAGCAAAAGCUGUGCCUGACUUCCUCAAUAUGAUGGUGUGACAAGAAAACUAAUGCUGUAAGUAAUUGUUUUAUAAUACUUUUAACAUGCAUUCAUCAAUUAUCUCAAAACUGUAGCACAUAAAAAAAGCACAGGUGCUGUCCCUGCUGUGCAAUGUGUGACCUAGGAGCCACACAGGAGUACAUGCACAUGAGGGCAGAGCUGCAUGGAGUCACCUGCAGGUCCAUAGCCUGCACUGAACACUGUCAACAUGCAACACAAAACAGCUGGCCAGAGGGUAGAAAGCUGUAAUGACAGCCAACAAAUAACUCCUGAGUUAACACACACUGCUGAGUCCCUGGCCUUGAAACAGAAGCUGGGAGCAGGAACUUUUUCUCUCCUAUGCAAGUGCCAUAAUACUUUCCAGCUUCCAGCUACAGCAUCAUUCUCUUCAUUAAUAAGACAAGUUCUGGUGUGCUCCCUCUCAUUCAAAGAUCUAUAGUUUUUCUAUCUGAGAAAGAAAAUUAUCUCCCUUCUGCUUACAGCACAGGGCUAUAGCAAGGAUCUCAUGACUGCUUAUUUAUUUAUUUAUUUAGGAAAGACAUCCAGCAGUCCAAAUGUGCACCUGCUCCUGCUAGCUUCCAGAGCAAAUGCUGUCUCCAAUUCUCUGAUAUAUUGCACUGCAAGCUCUUCCUAAAGCACAGGAAGUCAGACCAGAUCAGGCCUUGGAUGCUCCUUGGAAAUUUCACUGGCCGAUCGUCCACAUCUGAAGUACCUUAUCUUUGGAGAUCUGGACUCUAAUGGGGCAUAAGACAGGAAUCAGAACUGAUGGCCAACAAGAAACUGUUCUACCACGUGCAAUGCCUCAAUGUGUUGCCCUAGAAAGCUGAGGCUCAGGUCUUCUCCUGAGAUACAUGGUAUCCUCCAGAAUGGUAUUGAAGGAAUGGUGAGUGAUGUAAUAUUUGAGGAAGGGGAGAUGUGUGUCCUUCUGGAAUCCUCUUGUUCUCCACCUCUGUGUUUUCCAACCAAUUACUUAAUUCCUCAUACUGUGUCCUCACAGUAUGUGCUACAAAUGGUGACAUCAAAACCAAUAUAUUUUGCAAAUGCUAACAUUGCAGCAGGCUUUGCAGAAUAAUGGCUAUAUCAAUCCUUACUUAUAGUGUACUUUGAAUAUAGUGUCAUUAGUAACAGAACAUCUGUCAAAACCUCUCACAGUCUGAACAUGCUACCUCCUAUUUUUUUCAAUAUUAUGAUUGUAUUUCAUCAGUAGAUCCUAUGUAUUUGCUAAGUGGAGUUUCACUCAGUUCAGUCUUUGAUUGUUCAUGACGUGGAGAAGGUGAACAGGGAACAACUGUGUCUUGCCUCAUGUAGCAAGAGACCUAGGGAAUGGCAGGUUCAAAAUGCUCAAAAAGAGAUUUUUCUUCACAAGCUCUUAUGAUUAAGUAGUGGAGAUACUCCUUUCUGUUGAGUACACCAUGGUCCUCCCUGGCAAGGUCAACAGCAGCAGCUUAAAGAGCAGUGUGAGAGAGAGAUGUAUGUAAAUGGCUGCAGCAGGUGUAGCACUCCUGUCUCAGCUCAGGAUGGCUCCUCCAAGGGUUAGAGGCUAAUUUUGAGAAGAGGCUUUUUCAUUUUAAUUUGAAAGUUGUGAAAGGCUUUUGCAUGGUAGGAGCUCUAUCUCAAAAGAGCUUCUUCAGGAAACUCUACGGCACUUGUGUUUGUUUAGGUGCUUUUCCUUUUGAUAUGGUUGUUUUGCAGUAGUGACUUGGCUGGAAAAGAGGGUUUUUGGAGGUGAAUGUGGUGAGGAUAAAUCUCAAAGCUACCGCAAUUUGGGAGGCAUCCCUACUUUGUUUAGGAAAUAGACUUGCAACUAAAGGCCAUCUCGAGUUGACAGCAGACUUUGCGAGGGGUGAAAGUCCCUUGUACAGUGUGCUUCUGUACCUGUAAAAAAUCGGGUGCUUGAUUUACACAAGAGUCAUGAAGAUGUUCCUCUGGUUCUGUACUUUCCAUCAGGAGCCUCUUGUCCUUGCACUUGUUUUGUGCAGUCUAUUACAACAAUUCCAGUGGGACACAUAAUUCAGAUUCUGUAAUAGAAUGAAUGCACAGAGUCAUUGCUUAAACUGUACUGCAGCAGCACUUCUUGCUGCUGCUAUGUACAUUUAAUAACAAAAGGUCAAAAUACUGCAUCAACAUAGAAAGAGUCAUUUGAUCUCUUUAUCUGUAGAACAGGGAUAAUAUUCUUUGCUUAUGUUCCAAGACUUGCUGCAAAUUUGAGGACAGAAAAACUGAAGAUUUUCUUUAGUAUUGCUAAGAUAGAUUGUGAUGACUGUCAGAUACUGGUUAAACUGGAGGGGCUGAGCUUUUUAUUCCUGCUUUUGCUGUAUACCUGACAGUUGGAGGUGAAUGCAGCCUUUUGUUUCCUACACAACAAAAGGUUCAAAUAUAAACCAUGCUACUGAUAAAAUAAGAACAGAAAUUGCGGGUCAGUUCUAAACUUGGAAAAUGCUCGGGGUUUUUUUUGUUUUUGUGCUGGUAAAUCUACAUUCUCAUCAUGUGGAAAAAAACCAGACUCUUAAUACAGCUUUAGUUUUCUACUUUAUAGCUACAAGCAGAAAACAGCCAUGAAUCAAUAACGGGGGCCUGUAAACACUCUUCUGGCUCUAUAGCCUACUUAAUGUCAACCAAGAGCUGCAGUAAACCACAAUUCCCCAGCUGCAAUAAAUGCUACAGGCUCCAGAGCAGAGCACAAAGUUUAAUUAAAAGUAAUCUGAUACAUAUAAAUCCGCUGACGCAAUCUCUCACUCUUGCAUCUGAAAUAUAUAUAAGGCUCUUCCUGGAGACAUUGGAUGAUUUAGACUUCAAUUUCACUUAAGAAGCCUCUCACAUAAUACUAUCCAGUGAGUCUCUGUGCACACAGCAUAAAGACAUCCUGUUAACUAAAUGCAUUGAUCUCCCUUUGCUUUACAUGCCGAGUGUAUCAGCUGUUGAGUUAUUUGGCUAAUUUAAGAGACUUGGCAACAUUUUCCCGUGCUCUAAAUAGCCAGACAUCUCUGAACUUUCAGGAGUAACUACACUUGGCAAUUAAUGGAUAAUGACAACACUGCUGUAAUGUAUUAUCUUUUGGCAAUAAGUAAGCUCAGCAGUUUUGAGGAUGUCUCACUAAUGCUUUAGCAUCAGACAGACUCUGCUCAUGUUAGCUGUGUUUGACAAGAUGUUCUGUUGAUGUUUAAUGAUACACAGCCCCUUGCUGAUUUGCGUCCUGAGUCUGUCCUGGCUCUGCACACAUCGUCCUUCUCUCCUCCCCGUGCACCGUGGCUGCCUUAUGGAAUCACAGUAAAGUCUGGGUCAGACAUCCUCUCUGGAGAUCACCCGGUCCAAACCACAGAAACAGAGACUUAGGUUAGGUCAUCCUGGAUACUGUCCAGCAAAGUCUAGGAUAUUUCCAGUGAGAAAAGUGCACACCUUUGUUAUCUGAGGAUGCAAAAGAGUCCCGUUCGCGCCUCAUGCUAUAGUCCUGGCACUGAUGGUGUCUCUGGACUAACAGUAUAUUCAUGCUAAUUUUUCUGAAACUAGAAAAGGCAGAGGAUGACAACUGCUAUGGGACCUGGGAACAACACUUAAGGCUUAGAUGGCUUUCCUUUCUCAGCACUUUUUCCUCAGAAAAUAAAAGCAUCUAAAAAUAAAUAUUUGUUUUUAAAAUAAAUAAAUAUAUAUAUCUAAAGACACUAAUGAGUCCUGUCAUAAAGUGUAUUAAAGCAGUAUUCUAAAGGCAAAACAGCUUCUCACACAAAAUGACAUACACGUUUCUAAUUAGCUCCCAGAAAAUUAGGGUUCACUCAUGCGAGGGACCAAAUAACAUUACUUUGUAACUCCGAACAAAUAUUAAUCUCUUCCUCUCAUUUUUGUCCGUAGUGCUUUUUGUGGAUUUGUAUCCAUACAGAGUUUUCGCUGGUAUGCCAUCCGUUCGUGCAUUUCUAAACAAAAGCGAGACAUGGAGUCUUCAUGGCCAAAACUUUUCUUGCAUUCUUGCAUCUGUGGCCAAAAUGUAGCUAACUGGAUCCGUAGAGAUAGAUCUUGUAUUCAUGAUUGUUGUGAGAAACCUCCCAGAGCUUAUUGAAUUAGGGAUAUCCCAGUCAGCUAUUGUUAGACUUUAAGAGACGUUUUGCAGUUAGAGGAGGCUUUAAAUAAUAAUAAUAAUAAAAACAGAGUUUCUUUUUAUUAACUGAAGCUCUGUUUACAUCAGUAAGGAUACACAAAUCAAAGCAACAAAAUGUAUGGCCUGCAGUUAAAGGAUUUAGCUUCAAGAAAAGAAAAUGAAACAAACCAGAACAACAACAACAAACAUUGAACAGCAAUUAUUUAUCAAGAUAUAGGCCUUAAACCAAAUUUUGCUUUUUUCAUUGCAUUCAUGGCAGUUGUCUUGUUAUGAGUAGAGUGACGUGGAAGGUAAAGCCAAGGGAAAUGGGUUCAAACUGCAUCAUAAAGAAGUUCAAAUAUUCAAGGAACAGUAAUAUGUUUAAAACACACACACACAAAAGAGAAAGAAACCUGGGGGGAAAAAUUUCUACUUGCUUCUUCUUACAUUUUUUGCUUUUUGGAUUGAUCGAUAGAGUAAAUGUGGUAAAGGCACAGUGAUCUUUUACACAUUUAUUUCAAGUCUGUUGUUGUAACUAACUAGGAGUUCCUGAAGAGCAGAAUGAAGCCUGGAUAUACACUAAUGGAUUGCUAUUUGUAAUUCAUACCCUGAAAUGUAUCCAGCCUGGUGCUAAAACCAAACAUUUAGUAGGCUAAAAGUAAUACAAGCCAAGGUACAUUUGACAGCCAAUAAGAUGACGUUUGUCCAUUUUCUCCUAAAGGAGAGGAAAAUUGUGAACAUGGAAAAUAGAAGCAGGAGGAAGGAAGGACGUAGAGAGUGACUCAACAGGUCAUGAAAAUGUGAGGUUGCAUAUAUGCAACAUGAUCAAGUUGGAAAAAUAAUCUGUUGAGCCAGAAGGACAGCAAGAUGAACUAGUAGUGGAAGAAGUCUGCUAAGUCAGGAGGUAGAAAUCUGAUGCUGGAGGGAGUCUGAAGAUGAGUCUGAUCAAUCCAGUCUGAGUUUCUCAAAAUGUAAAUUAUUCCUGGCCAACAGGACACACUGAGGUGUCCCUGCUCCCUGCCUAUAACAGGGGGUUGGCAGUAGGUCAUCUUAAAAGUCCCUUCCAACCCAAACCAUUCUAUGAUUCUAUGAUUCUGUGAACUGUAUGUACUGGCUUAAAAUAAUUCCACGUGAAACAGCCUCAAGACUGAAAAUUUGCCUAGAGCAGCAUUUGAACUCUCAAAUGUGUGAGGUUCAGCAAGCCAAGUGAGAGCCAGAAGGAUCUCCUGCAGUUCAAUAUUCAACAGAUGUUAAAGCUUUUGUGUUCCCCAUGUGCAAGGAGUCAUGGAAAAAAGAGUCAAGGGAGAAGAAAUUUUAGAAGCAUCGUUCCUGACUUGCAGGUGUAAAUGUCCACUGAACAUUGAAGUAAAUAGGGAAGAAAUGGCAAAGAGAGGAAUAAGAAAGAAACAUGGAAGCUGAAAAUGACAGCGUUUCAGUACUGUUAAAGCUGUCAGUAUGUAUAUGAAGAUGAUGAAGAAAUGUAAUACUGGUUUAAUAUAACACAUCAUAUUGAAAUAAAGAGAAUCCGAAGAGAGGCUGGCAGAAGGUCUGACAGGGUCAUCAGAGAGCUCUGAGGCAUGACAUGGGCAGAGACAUCAAAAACAUAAACUGGGGGCUUCACCUUCCAAACUCUGGGAAAUCGUGUUUGUUUGCUAGUCUUAGAGCUGAGAUUCUGGGAUGUACACGCAAGGCUCCCUAGCAAAGACAGAAAGUGAGACACCUGAAAUUCUCUGAAAUUUUAAUGAAGCAAAUCAGUAGGAGUAACAGAAAUGAGAAAGAAAAGCACUGAUGCUCUAGUGCUCAUGACUUACAAACCCCCAAAAUGAACAUCUCAACGUCUUCCUUCCUUGCUUCAUAUAAAUUUUACGUAUUUUCCAAGUACAACAGUGCCUUCCUACAGAAUUUCUCAACUCUACUGCAAGUGUUACUGACGAAACAUAAAGCUGCUCUUUGAAAGAAGAAUUACUUUCCCUUUUGGCACUUUUGAAUAACUUCUCUUUCAACUUGGUGUUCUUUCCCCCCCAAGAUCUGGGUUACAGAGCUGCUUACUUCAGUCCUCGGCGGAGGCCUAUUUGUAUUGGCUUUGAUGUAAGCGGUAAGCUUCUUGGUUUAAUUUUAAUGUUCCAAGGGAAGAGUUUAUUCACAAAUGUAUUACACAGCAUGAAAUCUUCAUGGAAGAACAAUGCGUAGUGGAUUUGGUUGGGAAAAUUAUUACAAAAGCGAUGUUCUCUUAGUAUAAAAAAAACGAUGUGUUUUCAUGAAGAACAAAGAGAGUGGGCAAGAUGGAAAAGACAGGCUUUGGCUGCAAAACAACGUGCAGUGUGUGCCCAGUAGGUGAAGUACACAUGCAGGCUAGAAUGAGAGCUGCUGCAGAAAAGAAAUCCUGAUUUCCAAGCAACAAGUUCAGAAUGCAGCCUGCUGAGCUUGCUGCUUUGCUGUUGUGUUCUUUAGCAGUGCCCUGUGCAAGAUUCUGUAUACCUUGUGAGCGUCGCAGUUGACUUUUAUUAUGCCUUUUAACCCUCUGUGGUCAUUUGCGCAGCACCGGCAGCACAGGUCGUAUUUAAGAGCAGCGAGACAGUGCUGUGCUCGAGGCUGGGCAGCUCCCAGGAGUGUCGCUGUGACUGUAAGCCCUGCUCCACUGUCAGCCACCCUUUCUUCACAUAGGAAUUCUUGCCAGCAGUGAAAGUGCCGAAUAUACAGGGGGAAGAAGAGGGGA